GACACUGUGGCUGAGUGGUUAAAGCGAUUGAUUAGAAAUCAAUUCCUCUCUGAGGGCGCACGUUCGAAUCGUGCCAGUGUCG